rnacentral:rRNA from 1 species
CCUACGGGGGGCUGCAGUGGGGAAUAUUGGACAAUGGGGGGAACCCUGAUCCAGCCAUGCCGCGUGUGUGAAGAAGGCCCUCGGGUUGUAAAGCACUUUCAGUGAGGAAGAACGCCUGGUGGUUAAUACCCAUCAGGAAAGACAUCACUCACAGAAGAAGCACCGGCUAACUCCGUGCCAGCAGCCGCGGUAAUACGGAGGGUGCGAGCGUUAAUCGGAAUUACUGGGCGUAAAGCGCGCGUAGGUGGCUUGAUAAGCCGGUUGUGAAAGCCCCGGGCUCAACCUAGGAACGGCAUCCGGAACUGUCAAGCUAGAGUGCAGGAGAGGAAGGUAGAAUUCCCGGUGUAGCGGUGAAAUGCGUAGAGAUCGGGAGGAAUACCAGUGGCGAAGGCGGCCUUCUGGACUGACACUGACACUGAGGUGCGAAAGCGUGGGUAGCAAACAGGAUUAGAUACCCGAGUAGUC